rnacentral:rRNA from 1 species
AAAUUGAAGAGUUUGAUCAUGGCUCAGAUUGAACGCUGGCGGCAGGCCUAACACAUGCAAGUCGAACGGUAACAGGAAUCAGCUUGCUGAUUCGCUGACGAGUGGCGGACGGGUGAGUAAUGUCUGGGAAACUGCCUGAUGGAGGGGGAUAACUACUGGAAACGGUAGCUAAUACCGCAUAACGUCGCAAGACCAAAGAGGGGGACCUUCGGGCCUCUUGCCAUCGGAUGUGCCCAGAUGGGAUUAGCUAGUAGGUGGGGUAAAGGCUCACCUAGGCGACGAUCCCUAGCUGGUCUGAGAGGAUGACCAGCCACACUGGAACUGAGACACGGUCCAGACUCCUACGGGAGGCAGCAGUGGGGAAUAUUGCACAAUGGGCGCAAGCCUGAUGCAGCCAUGCCGCGUGUAUGAAGAAGGCCUUCGGGUUGUAAAGUACUUUCAGCGGGGAGGAAGGGAGUAAAGUUAAUACCUUUGCUCAUUGACGUUACCCGCAGAAGAAGCACCGGCUAACUCCGUGCCAGCAGCCGCGGUAAUACGGAGGGUGCAAGCGUUAAUCGGAAUUACUGGGCGUAAAGCGCACGCAGGCGGUUUGUUAAGUCAGAUGUGAAAUCCCCGGGCUCAACCUGGGAACUGCAUCUGAUACUGGCAAGCUUGAGUCUCGUAGAGGGGGGUAGAAUUCCAGGUGUAGCGGUGAAAUGCGUAGAGAUCUGGAGGAAUACCGGUGGCGAAGGCGGCCCCCUGGACGAAGACUGACGCUCAGGUGCGAAAGCGUGGGGAGCAAACAGGAUUAGAUACCCUGGUAGUCCACGCCGUAAACGAUGUCGACUUGGAGGUUGUGCCCUUGAGGCGUGGCUUCCGGAGCUAACGCGUUAAGUCGACCGCCUGGGGAGUACGGCCGCAAGGUUAAAACUCAAAUGAAUUGACGGGGGCCCGCACAAGCGGUGGAGCAUGUGGUUUAAUUCGAUGCAACGCGAAGAACCUUACCUGGUCUUGACAUCCACGGAAGUUUUCAGAGAUGAGAAUGUGCCUUCGGGAACCGUGAGACAGGUGCUGCAUGGCUGUCGUCAGCUCGUGUUGUGAAAUGUUGGGUUAAGUCCCGCAACGAGCGCAACCCUUAUCCUUUGUUGCCAGCGGUCCGGCCGGGAACUCAAAGGAGACUGCCAGUGAUAAACUGGAGGAAGGUGGGGAUGACGUCAAGUCAUCAUGGCCCUUACGACCAGGGCUACACACGUGCUACAAUGGCGCAUACAAAGAGAAGCGACCUCGCGAGAGCAAGCGGACCUCAUAAAGUGCGUCGUAGUCCGGAUUGGAGUCUGCAACUCGACUCCAUGAAGUCGGAAUCGCUAGUAAUCGUGGAUCAGAAUGCCACGGUGAAUACGUUCCCGGGCCUUGUACACACCGCCCGUCACACCAUGGGAGUGGGUUGCAAAAGAAGUAGGUAGCUUAACCUUCGGGAGGGCGCUUACCACUUUGUGAUUCAUGACUGGGGUGAAGUCGUAACAAGGUAACCGUAGGGGAACCUGCGGUUGGAUCACCUCCUUACCUUAAAGAAGC